UAACAUCUUCAGUAAGACAUUAUUGUACAGUGAUUCCUUACCCAGGUAUGUAACAUCUCCAGUAAGACAUUAUUGUACAGUGAUUCCUUACCCAGGUAUGUAACAUCUCCAGUAAGACAUCAUUGUAUACAGUGAUUCCUUACCCAGGUAUGUAACAUCUCCAGUAAGACAUCAUUGUAUACAGUGAUUCCUUACCCAGGUAUGUAACAUCUCCAGUAAGACAUUAUUGUAUACAGUGAUUCCUUACCCAGGUAUGUAACAUCUCCAGUAAGACAUUGUACAGUGAUUCCUUACCCAGGUAUGUAACAUCUCCAGUAAGACAUUGUACAGUGAUUCCUUACCCAGGUAUGUAACAUCUACAGUAAGACAUUGUACAGUGAUUCCUUACCCAGGUAUGUAACAUCUCCAGUAAGACAUUAUUGUACAGUGAUUCCUUACCCAGGUAUGUAACAUCUCCAGUAAGACAUUGUACAGUGAUUCCUUACCCAGGUAUGUAACAUCUCCAGUAAGACAUUAUUGUAUACAGUGAUUCCUUACCCAGGUAUGUAACAUCUCCAGUAAGACAUUAUUGUACAGUGAUUCCUUACCCAGGUAUGUAACAUCUCCAGUAAGACAUUAUUGUACAGUGAUUCCUUACCCAGGUAUGUAACAUCUCCAGUAAAACAUUAUUGUAUACAGUGAUUCCUUACCCAGGUAUG